rnacentral:rRNA from 1 species
UUGCCAGCCGCCGCGGUAAUACGGAGGGUGCAAGCGUUACUCGGAAUCACUGGGCGUAAAGCGCGCGCAGGCGGCUUAAUAAGUUGGAUGUGAAAUCCUAUGGCUCAACCAUAGAACUGCAUCCAAAACUGUUAAGCUAGAGUCUGGGAGAGGAAGAUGGAAUUAGUUGUGUAGGGGUAAAAUCCGUAGAGAUAACUAGGAAUACCAAAAGCGAAGGCGAUCUUCUGGAACAGUACUGGCGCUGAGGCGCGAAAGCGUGGGGAGCAAACGAGGAUUAGAUACCCUGGUAGUCCACGCCCUAAACGAUGCACACUAGUUGUUGCUAUGCUAGACAUAGCAGUAAUGCAGUUAACACAUUAAGUGUGCCGCCUGGGGAUACGGUCGCAAGNUUAAAACUUAA